UACAGAGGUCCCGAGCGUUGUUCGGAUUCACUGGGCGUAAAGGGUGCGUAGGUGGCGGGGUAAGUCUGAUGUGAAAUCUCUGAGCUCAACUCAGAAAUUGCAUUAGAAACUACCUUGCUAGAGGAUUGGAGGGGGGACUGGAAUUCUCGGUGUAGCAGUGAAAUGCGUAGAUAUCGAGAGGAACACCUGCGGCGAAGGCGGGUUGCUGGGCUGAUACUGACGCUGAGGCGCGAAAGCCAGGGGAGCGAACAGG
rnacentral:rRNA from 1 species